GACGAACGCUGGCGGCGGGCUUAACACAUGCAAGUCGAACGGAAAGGCCCUGCUUGUGUGGGGUGCUCGAGUGGCGAACGGGUGAGUAACACGUGAGUAACCUGCCCUUGACUUUGGGAUAACUUCAGGAAACUGGGGCUAAUACCGGAUAGGAGCUCCUGCUGCAUGGUGGGGGUUGGAAAGUUUCGGCGGUUGGGGAUGGACUCGCGGCUUAUCAGCUUGUUGGUGGGGUAGUGGCUUACCAAGGCUUUGACGGGUAGCCGGCCUGAGAGGGUGAACGGCCACAAUGGGACUGAGGUACGGACCAGACUCCAACAGGAGGCAGCAGUGGGGAGUAUUGCACAAUGGGCGGAAGCCUGAGGCAGAAGCGCCGCGUGUGGGAUGACGGCCUUCGGGUUGUAAACCGCAUUCGCCUGUGACGAAGCGUGAGUGACGGUAAUGGGUAAAGAAGCACCGGCUAACUACGUG
rnacentral:rRNA from 1 species